GUGAACGUUACAAACUGUUGCCUCGGCGGGAUCUCUGCCCCGGGUGCGUCGCAGCCCCGGACCAAGGCGCCCGCCGGAGGACCAACCAAAACUCUUAUUGUAUACCCCCUCGCGGGUUUUUUUACUAUCUGAGCCAUCUCGGCGCCCCUCGUGGGCGUUUCGAAAAUGAAUCAAAACUUUCAACAACGGAUCUCUUGGUUCUGGCAUCGAUGAAGAACGCAGCGAAAUGCGAUAAGUAAUGUGAAUUGCAGAAUUCAGUGAAUCAUCGAAUCUUUGAACGCACAUUGCGCCCGCCAGUAUUCUGGCGGGCAUGCCUGUCCGAGCGUCAUUUCAACCCUCGAACCCCUCCGGGGGGUCGGCGUUGGGGAUCGGCCCUUUACGGGGCCGGCCCCGAAAUACAGUGGCGGUCUCGCCGCAGCCUCUCCUGCGCAGUAGUUUGCACACUCGCAUCGGGAGCGCGGCGCGUCCACAGCCGUUAAACACCCCAAACUUCUGAAAUGUUGACCUCGGAUCAGGUAGGAAUACCCGCUGAACUUAAGCAUAUCAAUAAGCGGA
rnacentral:rRNA from 1 species